UAUGGGAAAUAGUACUUGGCGGGAAACUCGAUCGCCGCCUUUCAUAUGAAAUCCAUUUGAGCUUACAAUACAAUGCAAAGAAAGCGUCUAAGUCGAUGGGCCACAUCUGGGACACAGCCAUAAGGAAAGGAAGGAAGGAAGGAAGGAAGAUAUUUAUUUACGUUACUAGACAACAGUAGAAUUAAACAAAUUUAUAUUCAUUGACAUUAUUGAAAUUAAGCACAAGGAAGUCUGAAAAGUUAAUAAUAAUAAAUGAAAAGUAAAAAAAUAUGAGGAAGACAAAUUGUUUAGAGUAAACCAAUUGUUCGUGUUUCAAUUUUUAAGAGUUGUCAGAAUUUGUCAAUGACAAAUAUCCAUAUAUGGGAAUUAAAAAUUAUAAUAUAGAAUGGUUCAAGGCAAAAAGAAGAGUAUUUGGCUGCUUAUGACUACAUUCAAAAUCAACACUAUGUGCAGCAAGACAGAUACUACUACAUGGAACAUUGUCUUCGUAAAAAAAAGUUGAGCAUAUUUGUGCAAACACGAGGCGCCGUGAUCGCAAAUGUUUGUAUUCAAAACUUCAAUCAAAUAGUUGAAUCGAUCGAGUCGAAAUUGACAUGAAACAUUAAGUACCAGAUGUAGAUGAGGUAAUAACAUUUAAAGUUUCUCCGUCUGUCGAGUUAACUGUUUUUCGCGACAGUGAAUACACAAGAUACGAACACAAGCUUCACGUGGUCGUGCCUCAAGGUAAACCUGUUUGAUAUUUUUCAUGGCAUAGUGAACCACGGCUGGCAACGCCAUAAAAAGUAGUCAAAGGCACUUUUCUAGUUCAUACAGGUUUACAACAAUCUAUAAUAGAUUAUCAAGAGCAUAUUGAAAUGAAGAACUGUGAAAAAUAUGAUGCAUGGUUUUAUUUUAUGCAAUACAUUGUGGAUGAAUGAGCUGAAACAAUAUUUAGGAGUACCUAUCUAAUUUAGUGUUUCCAUUGGGUAAUCUCAAUCAAGGUUAAUUUCAUUAAAGUUAACUAAAAAUAUACUUUACAACAAUAAGUGAACUGAAAAAAAUUCUAUUUCUGUAAUCUUAAGGUACAUAUAAAUUCGUUGAUAUUACAGAAAUAAGAAAGCGUGAUACGGUUUGUCAAAGUAUCUACAAUAUGGAAGAAGUAUUCAAAAUUCUUGUAUAAACUUAAGUUAAUCCAUCCAUUUAAUUUCCAUGAUAAAACCAUAUUCAGGUGCUGCAAUACUCCUGAAUAAUCCCAUCCUAUUAGUAGUCACGUAGUGCUACCACUCACAAAAUUUCUAUUUCGUAUACCAAUAGAUAUACGUACGUUUACACAUAGAAAUUUCAUUGUAUGUACAUACACAUUGAAAUAAAGUGGAUGUGUGCCUCGAAUGGUAAUGCAGAA